UACGUAUGGUGCAAGCGUUAUCCGGAUUUACUGGGUGUAAAGGGAGCGCAGGCGGCGCGUUAAGCCUGGUGUGAAAGCCCGCGGCCCAACCGCGGGACUGCAUUGGGAACUGGCGCGCUGGAGUGCCGGAGGGGGUAGGCGGAAUUCCUAGUGUAGCGGUGAAAUGCGUAGAUAUUAGGAGGAACACCAGUGGCGAAGGCGGCCUACUGGACGGUGACUGACGCUGAGGCUCGAAAGCGUGGGGAGCAAACAGG
rnacentral:rRNA from 1 species